rnacentral:sRNA from 1 species
UCCAGCAGGGCUACUCGAUCCAGCAGGC